rnacentral:rRNA from 1 species
CGCGUAGGUGGUAGUGUAAGUCUGGGGUGGAAUCCCAGGGCUUAACCCUGGAACUGCCUUGGAAACUGCAUUACUUGAGUCAGUGAGGGGAGGGUAGAAUUCCUGGUGUAGCGGUGAAAUGCGUAGAUAUCAGGAGGAAGGCCUGUGGCGAAGGCGGCCCUCUGGCGCUGGACUGACACUGAGGCGCGAAAGCUAGGGGAGCAAACAGGAUUAGAUACCCUGGUAGUCCUAGCCCUAAACGAUGAACACUGGGUGUAGCCCCUCACGGGGCUGUGCCGAAGCUAACGCAUUAAGUGUUCCGCCUGGGGAGUACGGUCGCAAGGCUGAA